rnacentral:lncRNA from 1 species
UGGGCAUUUAUAUAUUUUUGUCCACUUUGUUCAAAGUAGAAUUCAUUUUGUAGUGAUUAAUGUGAUAUUAAUUUUCGUAAUUUAUGUUUAAUUUGGUCUUUUUGUGUGACGUUGUCUAAAUCGUUAGUAACGGAGUAUACAUAUUAACAACAUUGCUUAAGUGGUUGCUUACACAGUCAAUGAUUGUUUUUCUGGCUUCGUCACCUACAAUGCACCACACCACUACCGUGC